ACCUAGUGAUGUGGGCAUUUACAGAACAGGUCCCUAAAGCGCUGUCAAUUCUCAAAAAAGAGUUCUCCAUCCAUUUGUGAGAAACUUGUGAUGGCCCUUCGAAGCU